UUAAUCACAAAAAUCAGCAUAUAUUCACACUCACAUCUCUAGACUACUGUGCCUAUAUAUUAUUCACACACACAUACAUCUCUCUCUCUCUCUCUCUCUCUCUCUCUCUCUCUCUCUCUCUCUCUCUCUCCUGUUCUAGAUCUCAUCAGGUUUUUUCUGGUUAUUUUGUAGCUUCUACGAUCUGGUAACAUGUUUUUAUAUACGUCAUACCUUUCAUUUUUGCAAAUCAAUAAUAGAAAUUUGUGGUUUUGUCUCAUUUUACUAUUUUAGCAGUAUAUAUAUAUUACCAAGUUCAGAGAGUGUUCAGUAUUUUCUUCUUCCCCUCUCUUAUCUCUAUCUGUUAGGGUUUCACUUCUUUUUCAGGUUUGGAUAUGGUUAGGUUCCAACUAAGUAGAAGAGAAUACGUAGAACUGUACCAAUCACAACUUGUCAUCUCGACUAUUCCGCCAUGUUACCCCUCCCACAUAUGUAUAAGUAUAAUGUAUACAUAGAUAAAUUUUAUAUUAUAUUAUAUAUAUAUAUAUGAAGGUACGAGUUUCUAUAAAUUAUGAAGGAUAAGUAUUUAAAUAUAUUUAGAGGAUAUAUAUGUAGGUAGUGAGUUGGAGUUAUGAGUUUGAGUUUGAUUUGAGAGACAAACGAUUGCGACAUGAAGAUGAAAGACUAUUUCCGAAGCCGCGCGCGGUCGUUGUUUGCUGCUGUGGCAUCAUCAAGAUUCACAUCUCUGUUGAUGGACGGUGGUGAUUCACUCUCCCCAAAUUUGUCUCUGUGAAAAAUGAGAAUCUUGAUGAUGCUGCAUCGGCAAUCAAGGACUAUUAUUUUUGCCCUUUCUGUAUUCCAUCCAAGAUCUUGUUCAGGAUCUCAAGUUUUUGGCAGUCGUUUUCAACCCAAUACAUGAAUGGAUCAAAAAGCUUCUCUUUCAAUAGAUGAACAAGAGUCACAAUAUCAUCAAAAGGACUAACUAAGGUAACUAUGACAUAUCCCUAUACAAUUUUCUCUUGUUGGCAAAAUUUCAGCUUGCACUUUCACAACACAAUAAUAUCCUUUUCUUUCUUUUGGAAAAAAUAAAAAAAAUUGGAUAUCAUGGAAGUUGAUGAGAUAAUGAAAGGGUCUAGAUGGAACUAUUGAUGUCUAGCAGCAAAGAAAGGUUUUCAGGACAAACUGUCAGUUCUCUUUGUGUUGUUGGUUUAUUGUUGGCUAUUACAUUCAAAAUGAGAAUCAAUUAGGAACUUGUUGGGUGGACCUUACACAUUGUAGACUAGGCAUACGUACUCAGUCCCACCUAUUUGUGUCCCCUCUAUGUACAUGUUUAGGUGUUCUUGUAACUGCAAUACUACUGAUGAACAAUGAAGCAAAAAGUACUCUCAUUUUUUUGUUUUUAAAAAUCUUAUAGGGUAAUAUAUAUAUUAUGACAGACCAAUCAGAUUGUGAACAAAACCAAAAUACAUAGUAUAAUGAGUCUCAUGUGUUGUUUGUGAGCACCAAUCAUCCCAAAUGUAGCUUCCAAAUCAAAUUAACAAUACCUAAGUAAUGCCGCCUUCUUUUCUUUUGGUUAUGUCUCGUAGUACAUGUAGAUAUAGGUGAGUUUAGUUAGUUAAUGUCUUGUAUGUUGUGGAGCGUGUGUUUAAUCACUCCCCCAUCCAUAUAUAUUUAGUUUUUCAAAGAAAUGAAUCAUAGCUUCCACUAUAAAAUCUAAUUGUUUUGAGCAAUGAAUUGGAUGAUCGCGCUCCAUAAGUGGAAGUGAAAUCAUUCUAUCUCAUUCUUGUAAUGCACAAUGGCAAGUUGGCAACUAUUUUUUUCAUAUCAUGAUGAUAUUUUUGAUAUGUCCGCCAAUCACGUGUAUUUUGCAUAUAUCUUCCAGUAUUGGCAAACGAAAUUGUAAUUUUAUCAAAAUUAGUACAUCAAAAUAAUAAUAUAUGUCGUCACUCCAACUUUCUAAUUGAGGACAUAAGCUGUAAAAAAAAAUACAUUUCUACCGCUAUAUUGCUAAUACUAAUCACAAGCGGAUAUCAUUAUUUAAUCGAUCUUUUGUUAAAAUAUUCUUACCGAUAUGUGUCACUAAUUAAACGAACCAUAUAAUAUGUUUUAAUCAGAAGAAUUUAAUGUGUGAAUCUUUUUGUGUUCUGAUGAUCUUCGUAUUUAUCUAAAUAGCUAUUGUGAUGUUUCAUCAGUUUUAUAUAUAAAU